AACGAAGCAGUGCAACUAUGGGGGAAAGAUGAGAAAAACGAGGGUGGAUUGGAGAAGAAGAGGGGAUGUUGACUGGGUGGGGUAGGGCUUUUAAAAUUUUCUUUUUUGAUUUUGAUUUUGAUUUUGAUUUUAAUUUUAAUUUUUGUUUUUUUAUUCUUUUAUAAUCCUAAUUUUUUAUUUUUUUAAUUUUCACCUAAUUUUCAAUUGUUGUAAUAUUUUUAAUUUUAAAAUCCUAUAUUUUAUUUUAGCAUUUCACGUGCAUUAUUUUGCGCAACAUGAUUAUCGAAGACGAAGAGGGUGGGUUGGUCUCGUU
rnacentral:lncRNA from 1 species